rnacentral:SRP_RNA from 1 species
CACUGGGUCCCUGGCGGCGGAAGCCGUCGAACCGUGUCAGGUCCGGAAGGAAGCAGCACUAAGAUGUCUCUUCCGGGUGCCCAGGAUCACCUGGUCGGUC